AGAGUUUGAUCCUGGCUCAGGACGAACGCUGGCGGCGUGCUUAACACAUGCAAGUCGAACGGACAGACAGAGAGCUUGCUCUCUUGAAGUUAGUGGCGAACGGGUGAGUAACGCGUAAUCAACCUGCCCUUCAGAGGGGGAUAACAACGGGAAACCGUUGCUAAUACCGCGUACGAUUCAUGGACGGCAUCGUUUAUGAAUGAAAGGUGGCCUCUAUGUAUAAGCUAUCGCUGAAGGAGGGGAUUGCGUCUGAUUAGCUAGUUGGAGGGGUAACGGCCCACCAGGGCAAUGAUCAGUAACCGGUCUGAGAGGAUGAACGGCCACAUUGGGACUGAGACACGGCCCAAACUCCUACGGGAGGCAGCAGUGGGGAAUCUUCCGCAAUGGACGAAAGUCUGACGGAGCAACGCCGCGUGAGUGAUGAAGGUCUUCGGAUUGCAAAGCUCUGUUAAUCGGGACGAAAGAGUUCUGUGUAAAUAAUGCAGAAAAGUGACGGUACCGGAAUAGAAAGCCACGGCUAACUACGUGCCAGCAGCCGCCGUAAUACGUAGGUGGCAAGCGUUGUCCGGAAUUAUUGGGCGUACAGCGCGCGCAUGCGGCCUAUCCAGUCUGUCUUAAAAGUUCGGGGCUCAACCCCGUGAUGGGACGGAAACUAGUAUGCUAGAGUGUCGGAGAGGAAAGCGGAAUUCCUAGUGUAGCGGUGAAAUGCGUAGAUAUUAUGAAGAACACCAGUGGCGACUGCGGCUUUCUGGACGAAAACUGACGCUGACGCGCGAAACCCGGUGGAGCGAACGGUAUUAGAUACCCCGGUAGUCCUGGCCGUAUACGAUGGGUACUACGGUGUAUGACGUAUCGACUCCUUCUGUGGCCGGGAGUUAACGCACUAAGUACCCCGCCCUGGGGGAGUUUUGUGGCACGCCUGAAACUCCAGGAGUUGACGGGGGACCGCCCAAAACGGCGGAGAAAGAUGUUUUAUUCUUACGCAUCCUCGGCAGAAGGAUACCCACGUCUUGACCUUGUUGGGAUCUAGACAAGAAAAAUGGGGUCCCCCCUCCCGGGAGCCUCAAUG
rnacentral:rRNA from 1 species